rnacentral:rRNA from 1 species
GCGGCACUACAAUACAGGAGCGGCAGACGGGAGAGUUCACGUGGGAACAGAACCCUUCGGUCUGGAAUAACCCAGGGAAACUUGGGCUAAUACUUGACACGCCCUUACGGGGAAAGAUUUAUUGCCGAAGGAACGGCCCGCGUCCGAUUAGCUAGUUGGUGAGGUAACGGCUCACCAAGGCGACGAUCGGUAGCUGGUCUGAGAGGAUGACCAGCCUCACUGGGACUGAGACACGGCCCAGACUCCUACGGGAGGCAGCAGUGGG